AGCAGCCGCGGUAAUUCCAGCUCCAAUAGCGUAUAUUAAAGUUGUUGCAGUUAAAAAGCUCGUAGUUGAAUUUCGGGGUCAAUAAGUUGGUCAUGCCAAUGGUAUGCACUGGCUUUAUUGAUUCCUACCUCUUGACGAACUGUGAUGCCAUUAAUUUGGUGUUGCAAGGAAUCGGGACUGUUACCUUGAAAAAUUAGAGUGUUUAAAGCAAGCUUACGCUUGAAUACAUUAGCAUGGAAUAAUGAAAUAGGACGUUUGAUCCUAUUUUGUUGGUUUCUAGGAUCGACGUAAUGAUUAAUAGGGAUAGUUGGGGGCAUUAGUAUUCAAUUGUCAGAGGUGAAAUUCUUGGAUUUAUUGAAGACUAACUACUGCGAAAGCAUUUGCCAAGGAUGUUUUCAUUAAUCAAGAACGAAAGUUAGGGGAUCGAAGACGAUCAGAUACCGUCGUAGU
rnacentral:rRNA from 1 species